AUUGAACGCUGGCGGCGUGCCUAAUACAUGCAAGUCGAGCGGUAACACUUCGGGUGACGAGCGGCGGACGGCUGGGUAACACGUAGGAAUCUACCCCAGACUGAGGGAUAAGCACCGGAAACGGUGUCUAAUACCGCAUACGCUCUAAGGAGUAAAGCUUCGGCGGUUUGGGAAGAGCCUGCGCAUGAUUAGCUUGUUGGUAAGGUAAUGGCUUACCAAGGCGACGAUCAUUAGCUGGGCUGAGAGGAUGAUCAGCCAGACUGGGACUGAGACACGGCCCAGACUCCUACGGGAGGCAGCAGUAGGGAAUUUUCCACAAUGGGCGAAAGCCUGAUGGAGCAACGCCGCGUGCAGGAUGAAGGCCUUCGGGUUGUAAACUGCUUUUAUAUGUGAAGAUUAUGACGGUAGCAUAUGAAUAAGGAUCGGCUAACUCCGUGCCAGCCGCCGCCGUAA
rnacentral:rRNA from 1 species